UUCUGCCUAAAAAAAAAUAAAGAAUCAGUCCCUUCACAUCAGAACUCUCCAAUCAGCAUUAUGACAUCUUGAGAAUCUCUCAUCCAUUUUAGUGGGAUUAGGACCAGGAUUAGCAUUUUUACAGUAGAUUUCCUCAGCAUGCCCUAGAGUAAAGCGUUGUAAUCCUUUCUCACACCAGAAGGUGGCAAGCACUCUUAAAGGAUGAGCUGUAUUGAAACAAGACAGGCUCCUUCCCGAUAAAAUCUCAGCCACCAUUGUCCUCUGCUCAAGCACACAGCCUUGGGUUUUCCAGCCAGAGAUUUGUGUUUAACGGAGUCCAGUAAAUCACAGCAGGACAGCACUAAAAAGGAAAGUAUGAAACACAUUUAAACAUAUCUUCUGUUGUAAUUUAAGCAAAGGACUCUGAGGCUAAAGUAGAAAAUAAUUGUGUAGAAAGCAAAGCUGACCAGAAAAACUGAGAUUUCCACCCCACAGCAGCUCUCACAAAAGCAGGGUUUCUAAGAGAUCCGGAUGCCUGCCAAGCACAGCCACAGAAGAACUGUGAAGUACCUGGAGCUAAACCUGCCCCACAGCCCUUAGGUGUUGCUGGAAAACAGGACAUGAAUAGAUGCAGCCUUCUCAGCUGGGUUCAAAGCAAGCACAAAGCAAGGACCAGAAAGGACAAGAAACAAAGGAAGGAACUAGUUAAGUUGGACCUGCAAGUGAGGGUUCCUGCAAACAUGAGACUGAGGCUGAGUGAAAUCUGCAAAGACUUCCUGACUGUUUUUGGAGAAAGAUGCUGCCUACUCUUUUCUCCUGACACCGGUACCCUUUCUGCUCCUUCACAGUUACAAAACUGGACCACUGCCCCAUGUCUGGUCCUUUUCAUUUGGAAGUACCAUGCUAGGUAGCUCAGCAGGCUGCAAGUACCAGCCCAGUCAUCAUCUGUCCAAGCAAAGGAGACCAACUUGGCCUUCUGGUAACAAGGGGCUGUAAGAUACUGGCUACAUACUGGAGGAUUUGUCCCUGAUACAGAGAGCUCCUCAUGUAGAACAAAGCAGAAGCCAUACACGUGGUAUCAGCUUUGUGAGACCUCAGCAAGCUCUCUUGGAUGAACACAAAUUUCACCUCCAUGUGGAUUUCCAGAACAGCUGAAGGCUGUGAAUGUGCCAUGCGGCAUAUCUUGGAGAUGAAGAAGGGGCAGGAAGGAACAACUGGCAGGGACAGGAUCGCAUCUUAAUGCCAGCUUCCUCAAACUGGAAUAUUUCUUAUUUAAUUACCUUCCAAAUGCCAUUUUUACCCUGUUAAAAAUGAAGCUAGAUUUUAAUAUUAAAAUAACUGUUAAAAAAUGUCAAAACAGAGUAAGCUUACCCAGAUUAAAAAUUCAUAUAUAUACUUUUUU